rnacentral:rRNA from 1 species
AUUGAACGCUGGCGGCAGGCUUAACACAUGCAAGUCGAGCGGGGUGAUGGUGCUUGCACUAUCACUUAGCGGCGGACGGGUGAGUAAUGCUUAGGAAUCUGCCUAUUAGUGGGGGACAACAUCUCGAAAGGGAUGCUAAUACCGCAUACGUCCUACGGGAGAAAGCAGGGGAUCACUUGUGACCUUGCGCUAAUAGAUGAGCCUAGGUCGGAUUAGCUAGUUGGUGGGGUAAAGGCCUACCAAGGCGACGAUCUGUAGCGGGUCUGAGAGGAUGAUCCGCCACACUGGGACUGAGACACGGCCCAGACUCCUACGGGGGGCAGCUGUGGGGAAUAUUGGACAAUGGGGGGAACCCUGAUCCAGCCAUGCCGCGUGUGUGAAGAAGGCCUUAUGGUUGUAAAGCACUUUAAGCGAGGAGGAGGCUCUUUUGGUUAAUACCCAAGAUGAGUGGACGUUACUCGCAGAAUAAGCACCGGCUAACUCUGUGCCAGCAGCCGCCGUAAUAC